GUCACUGGCAGCGGUCACCGCCUUCCGCCAAAUUUUCACUGACGCUGAAAUCCACGCUGCAUGCUUCGCCUGCGAACCUGCGCCUGGGAGACUGUUGCUAACUUAUUUGAUGCUAGACAGUACUUAACUGUCCAGCUGGUCCACAGCCCAUUACCCACUCCGCCAUGGGGCAGAAGCCUCAUAAUCUGUCCCUGCGACUCCUUCUGUGUCCCUCAUCUCUGCUGUGUCCCCAUGAGAGGCGGAGCCGCAGUGACCGACGCAUAUGAAGCCCAGCGACAGCGGGACCCUCCGCUACAGUGAAUCCUUUCAGGCACACAGCACUCGGACCCCAUCUUAGUGUUUCAGCAAGAAGAAGGAGUGAAAGAGAUAUUUACUUGGUCGAGAGGUUCCUAUUCCCUACGAUAGAACACCAUCCCGCUCCAUGAUACACUCAGGAGAUACAACAGGAUACAUUUAUUCAGAAUGUAUUCACUAAUAAUAUAAAUAAAUGAAGCCAUGCUAGAUUAGUACAUAAUGAUUGAAUGCACAGAGAACUGGAAAAUGCAUACUGGUUGCAGAAUUGCACUUACUGGUUGUAAUCCUGAAUGAAAUUAAAUUGGAUUGAAAUGAAA